CUUCAACCUUCCUUCACACCAGGGGAAGUCAGCACACAAGAGCUGCAAGGCGAGAUCCCAUCAAGGACCCUGAUGGUUCCUGAAGUAUUUCCACAGCCUUGUGGGUAGCAAGAAGCAUCCAGCAGCUGAAGGUGGAACAGCUGUAGAAGGAAAUAUCUUUUUUAACUACAGCAUAAAAAGAGAAGGACGUGAGCUGAAGGAGAAGUGAAGAGGAUCAACACAGAGUAAAUAACAGUUAUGAUACUAAAGCAGGAAGCUUCAGAAGCAGAAACCUCAUGGCAAGCCAGAAUGAAUAAUAAUGCUGAAUUCUGGGGAUAUUGCCAGGAAAUGUCAUACAGGAUGCUCUGCAGCAGCAGCUAAGGAACUACAGGUGGAAUUGCAGGAUUAUAUGUUGCCAAGCUCAAGGCAAGCUUGGGAAGCAAAAUGAACUACGAUGGAAAGCAGAGGGGAGCUCCAGGUAGUUCCAAUUUACUCUGCUAUGGAAACUUGUAGAUUCGUAAUGUAUUUCAUGUUAAGUCUACCAUGUAGUAAGCCUGUACAGCUGUCAUUCCCCACAGAAUUUCUUUUUGAACCCAAUAAAGA